AUUGAACGCUGGCGGCAGGCCUAACACAUGCAAGUCGAACGAGUGGCGGACGGGUGAGUAAUGUCUGGGAACCUGCCCGAUGGAGGGGGAUAACUACUGGAAACGGUAGCUAAUACCGCAUACCAUCGGAUGUGCCCAGAUGGGAUGAGCUUGUAGGUGAGGUAACGGCUCACCUAGGCGGCGAUCCCUAGCUGGCCUGAGAGGAUGACCAGCCACACUGGAACUGAGACACGGUCCAGACUCCUACGGGAGGCAGCAGUGGGGAAUAUUGGACAAUGGGCGCAAGCCUGAUGCAGCAAUGCCGCGUGUAUGAAGAAGGCUUUCGGGUUGUAAAGUACUGUCAGCGGGGAGGCGUUACCCGCAGAAGAAGCACCGGCUAACUCCGUGCCAGCAGCCGCGGUAAUAC
rnacentral:rRNA from 1 species